rfam:Magnaporthe oryzae 70-15 chromosome 1, whole genome shotgun sequence.
UUGGCUAUCAUGAUGAAAUAUUCCGGAUGUAAAAACAGUCUGAAAUGCGCAAACAUAACCCCCUGUUGAUUUCCGUUGCCUUCCUUCUGAUUAUAUGCCU